CCCAUUAUCACUUGCUUUCAACGGCAGUAUUUCAUAAGACUGCAUGUUUAGGGAGGAAUGCACUGUUGCUUGGUAUAUCCAGUUUGGUUAAAGGAGGAAUGCAUUAAAAAUGCACCGCCACCGGUUUGUGUCAUGUGACUCAAAACAGAACUAAUAAAAAUGUGAAAUUUGAGGAAAGCAGUUAUUUCCAUUUAUCGAGGGACUUACAACUUCACCUGUGUGUGAACAAAAUGGAUUGGGUGGUCUAUUUGACAGCUACCAAGAUGAGUAGAAAAACACUGACAAUUGCAUUGUUAAGUUUAGUGUUUUGUAGCGCAUCAGCUGAGUCAGCAAACUCACCUACAACUGAAUCUAUGACUGUCACAUCAUACUCACCUGCACAAACGACACAAUUCUGCUUACAACUGACACAACAGCAUAUACAAUACUGUUCAACAACAACUGAAACUCUGUUUACAACCACUGCCAAACCAACACAAACACCUGAAUCAACAAACUCACCUAUAACUGCAACAACUGAAUCUACGACUGUUAGAACAAACACAGCUACAACUAAAACUCGGCUUACAACUACAAGCCUUCCUACAGAAAAAACAACACAACUCACAACUGAGCAAUCAACUACAUCUGAACAAAGCACCACAAUGCAGUCAGCAAAUUCAUCCCUACCUACAACAAGUACAGCUCAAUCUACAACUGAGGUUACAACAAACUCACCCACAACUACAACUCUGCUUACAACUACAGCUCCUCCUACAGAAACAACAACAACACAACUUACAUCUACGGCUGAACCAAAAACCACAACUGCUGCAACAUCUACAACUGAACCAAAAACCACAACUGCUUCAACACCUACAACUGAACAAUCAACUACAUCUGAACAAAGCACCCCAAAGCAGACAACAACAUCAUCCCUACCUACAACACGUACAGCUCAAUCUACAACCCUGGUUACAACAAACUCACCUACAACUACAACUCUUCUUACAACUAAAACCCCUCCUACAGAAACAACAAGACUUACAUCUACUGCUGAACCAACAACCACAACUGCUUCAUCGUCUACAACUGAACUAACAACCAUAACUGCUUCAACACCUUCAACUGAACAAUCAACUACAUCUGAACAAAGCACCCCAAUGCAGACAACAACAUCAUUCCUACCUACAACAAGUACAGCUCAAUCUACAACCCUGGUUACAACAAACUCACCUACAACUACAUCUCGGGUUACAAUUACAGCCCCUCCUACAGAAACAACAACAAAACUUACAUCUACAGCUGAACCAACAACCACAACUGUUUUAACAUCUAUGACAGAACAAUCAACUACAUCUGAACACAGCACCACAACGCAGACGGCAACAACUUCCCUACCUACAACAAGUACAGCUCAAUCUACAACCCUGGUUACAACAAACUCACCUACAACUACAUCUCGGGUUACAAUUACAGCCCCUCCUACAGAAACAACAACAAAACUUACAUCUACAGCUGAACCAACAACCACAACUGUUUUAACAUCUAUGACAGAACAAUCAACUACAUCUGAACACAGCACCACAACGCAGACGGCAACAACUUCCCUACCUACAACAAGUACAGCUCAAUCUACAACCCUGGUUACAACAAACUCACCUACAACUACAUCUCGGGUUACAAUUACAGCCUCUCCUACAGAAACAACAACAAAACUUACAUCUACAGCUGAACCAACAACCAAAACUCUUUUAACAUCUACAACUGAACCAACAACCACAACUGCUUCAUCAUCUACAACUGAAUCAACAACCACAACUGUUUUAACAUCUACAACAGAACAAUCAACUAUAUCUGAACAAAGCACCACAAUACAGAUGGCAACAACAUCACUACUUUCAAGAAGUACAGCUCAAUCUACAACUGAGGUUACAACAAACUCACCUACAACUGCAACUCUGCUUACAACUACAACACCUCCUACAGAAAGAACAAGAAUUACAUCUACUGCUGAACCAGCAACCACAGCUGCUUCAUCGUUUACAACUGAACUAACAACCAUAACUGCUUCAACACCUACAACUGAACAAUCAACUACAUCUGAACAAAGCACCCCAAUGCAGACAACAACAUCAUCCCUACCUACAACAAGUACAGCUCAAUCUACAACCCUGGUUACAACAAACUCACCUACAACUACAUCUCGGAUUACAAUUACAGCCCCUCCUACAGAAACAACAACAAGACAACUUACAUCUACGGCUGAACCAAUAAUUACAACUGUUUUAACAUCUACAACAGAACAAUCAACUACAUCAGGACAAAGCACCACAACACAGACGGCAACAACAUCCCUACCUACAACAAGCACAACUGUUUUAACAUCUACGACAGAACAAUCAACUACAUCUGAACAAAGCACCACAACGCAGACGGCAACAACAUCCCUACCUACAACAAGUACAGCUCAAUCUACAACUGAGGUUACAACAAACUCACCUACAACUACAACCCCUCCUACAGAAACAACAAGACUUACAUCUACUGCUGAACCAACAACCACAACUGCUUCAUCAUCUACAACUGAACUAACAACCAUAACUGCUUCAACACCUACAACUGAACAAUCAACUACAUCUGAACAAAGCAGCCCAAUGCAGACAACAACAUCAUCCUUACCUAUAACAAGUACAGCUCAAUCUACAACCCUGGUUACAACAAACUCACCUAUAACUACAUCACAGGUUACAAUUACAGCCCCUCCUACAGAAACAACAACAAAACUUACAUCUACAGCUGAACCAAAAACCACAACUGAUUCAUCAUCUACAGCUGAACCAACAACCACAACUAUUUUAACAUCUACAACAGAACAAUCAACUAAAUCAGGACAAAGCACCACAACACAGACGGCAACAACAUCCCUACCUACAACAAGUACAGCUCAAUCUACAACUGAGGUUACAACAAACGCACCUACAACUGCAACUCUGCGUACAACUCCAGGCCCGCCGACAGAAACAACAACAACACAACUUACAUCUACGGCUGAACCAAUAAGCACAACUGUUUUAACAUCUACGACAGAACAAUCAACUACAUCUGAACACAGCACCACAACGCAGACGGCAACAACAUCCCUACCUACAACACGUACAGCUCAAUCUACAACUGAGGUAACAACAAACUCACCUACAACUGCAACUCUGAUUACAACUCCAGGCCCUCCUACAGAAACAACAACAAAACUUACAUCUACAGCUGAACCAAAAACCACAACUGAUUCAUCAUCUACAGCUGAACCAACAACCACAACUGAUUCACCAUCUACAGCUGAACCAACAACCACAACUUUUUUAACAUCUACAACUGAACCAAUAACCACAACUGUUUUAAUAUCUACAACAGAACAAUCAACUACAUCAGAACAAAGCACCACAACACAGAUAGGAACAAAAUCCCAACCUACAACAAGUAUAGCUCAAUCUACAACUGAGGUUUCAACAAACUCACCAAGAACUACAUUUCAAGUUACAACUACAGGCCCUCCUAAAGAAACAACAACAACAAAACUUACAUCUAUUGCUGAACCAACAACCACAAUUGCUGCAACAUCUACAACUGAACAAUCAACAACAUCUGAACACAGCACCACAAUGCAGACAGCAACAACAUCCAUACCUACAACAAGUACAGCUCAAUCUACAACUGAGGUUUCAACAAACUCACCUAGAACUGCAACUCUACUUACAACUACAGCCCCUCCUACAGAAACAACAAUAACACAACUUAUAUCUACAGCUGAACCAACAACCACAACUUCUUUAUCAUCUACAAUUAAACAAUCAACUACACCUGAACAAAGCACCGCAACACAGGCAUCAACACCAUCCUUACCUUCAACAAAUACAGCACAAUCUACAAACCUGGUUACAACAAACUCACCUACAACUACAUCUCGGGUUACGACUACAGCCCCUCCUACAGAAACAACAACAAGAAAACUUACAUCUACGGAUGGAUCAACAACCACAACUGCUUCAUCAUCUACAACUGAAGAAUCAACUACAUCUGAACAAAGUGCCCCAACACAGACAUCAACAUCUUCCUUACCUACAUCUCGGUUUACAACUACAGCCCCUCCUACAGAAACUACAACAGGAAAACUUACAUCUACAGCUGAACCAAAAACCACAACUUCUUCUUCAUCUACAACUGAACAAUCAACUACAUCUGAACAAAGCACCCUAACACAGACAUCAACAUCACCCUUACCUUCAACAAAUACAGCUCAGACUACAACCCUGGUUACAACAAACUCACCUACAACUACAUCUCGGGUUACGACUACACCCCCUCCUACAGAAACAACAUCAAGAAAACUUACAUCUACGGCUGAACCAACAACCACAGCUACUUCAACAUCAACAACAGAACAAUCAACUACAUCUCAACACAGCACCACAAUGAAGACAGCAACAACAUCCCUACCUAUCACAAGUACAGCUCAAUCUACAUCUGAGGUUUCAACAAACUCACCUACAACUGCAACUCUGCUUACAACUAGAGCCCCUCCUACAGAAACAACACAACUUACAUCUACGGGUAAACCAACAACCACAACUGUUUUAAAAUCUACAACUGAACCAACAACAACAACUGUUUUAAGAUCUACAACUGAACCAACAACUACAACUGUUUUAACAUCUACAACUGAACAAUCAACAACACCUGAACAAAGCACCACAAUGCAGACAACAACAACAUCCUUACCUACAAAAAAUACACCUCAAUCUACAACCGUGGUUACAGCAAACUCACUUACAAGUACAUCUCAGUUUACAACCACAGCCCCUCCUACAGAAACAACAACACAACUUACAUCUAUGGCUGAACCAACAACGACAACUGUUUUAACAUCUACAACAGAACAAUCAACUACAUCUGAACAAAGCACCACAAUGCAGUCAACAACAACAUCCCUACCUACAACAAGUACAGCUCAAUCCACAACUGAGGUUACAACAAACUCACCUACAACUGCAACUCUGUUUACAACUACAGCCCCUCCUACAGAAACAACAACCACACAACUUACAUCUACAGCUGAACCAACAACCACAACUGCGUCAACAUCUACAACUGAAAAAUCAACUAUACCCGAACAAAGCACCACAACACAGACAGCAACAACAUCCCUACAUACAACAAGUACAGCUCAAUCUACAACCCUGAUUUCAACAAACUCAGCUACACCUACAUCUCGGGUUACAAUUACAGCCCCUCCUACAGAAACAACAACAACACAACUUACAUCUACAGCUGAACCAACAACCAUAACUGUUUUAACAUCUACGGCUGAACCAACAACCACAACUGUUUUAACAUCUACAACAAAACAAUCAAUUACAUCCCAACACAGCACCACAACACAGACAGCAACAACAUACCUACCUACAACAAGUACAGCUCAAUCUACAACCCUGGUUACAACAAACAUGACUGUUACAUCAAGCUCAGCUACACAAACGACACAAUUCUGCUUAAAAGUGACACAACAGCUGAUACAAUACUGCUCAGCAACAACUGAAACUCUGUCUACAACCACUGCCAAACCUACACAAAAACCUGACUCAACAAACUCACCUGCAUCUGCAACAACAGAAUCUAUGACUGUUACAGUAAACUCAGUCCCUUCCACAGAAACAACAACAACAACAACACAACUUACAUCUACGGCUGAACCAACAACUACAACCAGAGCUCAAUCAACAACAACCCCAGGCACAACCCAGACAGUUUUUGUUAGUUUUUCCAGCAGUGAAAUUUUUGUCUCUGAUCUGUCAAAUCCAGCUUCAGAAGCAUAUAAAAACAGAGAAAAGAAUGUCAACGAUACGUUGACACCAUUCUUUAGAAAUGCAUUGCCCUCCUUCAAAGGACUGGCAGUUAUUCAGUUCCGUAAUGGGUCAAUCAUCACUGAUAUGAAUGUGACAUUUGGAACCUUACCCAGUGAUGUUGAGAUAGAAAACACUAUUAUGAAAGCUAAUGCCACUCUCAGUAUCACCAGUGUAACAAUAUGGAAGCCCUUCACCACAACUACCAAAGCCACUACAACCAGUUCCACUACAAUUACAACUACAACCACACCUAACACAACAACAGCAGCAGCAACAACAACAACCACAACAUCUACUGCCAAUCCUAAUACAACAGCAUCACCAGCAACCACAACAUCUACUGUCAAUCCGAAUACAACAGCAUCAACAGCAACCACAACAUCUACUGCCAAUCCUAUUACAACAGCAACAACCACAACAACCACAACAUCUACUGCCAAUCCUAUUACAACAGCAACAACCACAACCACAACAUCUACUGUCAAUCUUAAUACAACAGCAUUAACAGCAACCACAACAACUACUGCCAAUCUUAAUACAACAGCAUCAACAGCAACCACAACAUCUACUGUCAAUCCUAUUACAACAGCAACAACAACAACAACCACAACAUCUACUAUCAAUCCUAAUACAACAGCAUCACCAGCAACCACAACAUCUACUGCCAAUCCUAACACAACAGCAUCAACAGCAACCACAACAUCUACUGCCAAGCCUAAUACAACAGCAUCAACAGCAACCACAACAUCUACUGCCAAUCCUAAUACAACAGCAACAACAACAACAACAGCAACCACAACAUCUACUGUCAAUCCUAAUACAACAGCACCAACAGCAACCACAACAACAACCACAACAUCUACUGCCAAACCUAAUACAACUGUAACAACAACACCCACAACCACAACAACAACAACAACAACAACAAAAACAACAACAACAACAACAACAUCUACUGCCAAUCCUAAAACAACAGCAACAACAACCACAAUAACAACAGCAGCAACCACAACAGCAGCACCAGCACGUCCUCAGCCAACUGUUGCCAUACAGAUUGUCAUUAUAGAGGUGUUUGUUCCAGCACUGAAAGACCCUCAAACUCCGGAAUUUAAAAGCCUAGCCACAAAAGUAAUAUAUAGUAAAAUUCUAAAGCAAAACUCUGAAUUCAGUUUUUACUUGCCUGAAAGUUUUGGGAAGGAACUUUUUUCAAAAUGUUAA
ensembl:lncRNA